rnacentral:rRNA from 1 species
CGCGCUACCAUCAGUCGAACGGAAAGGCCCUGCUUUUGUGGGGUNCUCGAGNUGGCGAACGGGUGAGCUAACACGNUGAGUAACCUGCCCUUGACUUUGGGAUAACUUCAGGAAACUGGGGCUAAUACCGGAUAGGAGCUCCUGCUGCAUGGUGGGGGUUGGAAAGUUUCGGCGGUUGGGGAUGGACUCGCGGCUUAUCAGCUUGUUGGUGGGGUAGUGGCUUACCAAGGCUUUGACGGGUAGCCGGCCUGAGAGGGUGACCGGCCACAUUGGGACUGAGAUACGGCCCAGACUCCUACGGGAGGCAGCAGUGGGGAAUAUUGCACAAUGGGCGGAAGCCUGAUGCAGCAACGCCGCGUGCGGGAUGACGGCCUUCGGGUUGUAAACCGCUUUCGCCUGUGACGAAGCGUGAGUGACGGUAAUGGGUAAAGAAGCACCGGCUAACUACGUGCCAGCAGCCGCGGUGAUACGUAGGGUGCGAGCGUUGUCCGGAUUUAUUGGGCGUAAAGGGCUCGUAGGUGGUUGAUCGCGUCGGAAGUGUAAUCUUGGGGCUUAACCCUGAGCGUGCUUUCGAUACGGGUUGACUUGAGGAAGGUAGGGGAGAAUGGAAUUCCUGGUGGAGCGGUGGAAUGCGCAGAUAUCAGGAGGAACACCACUGGCGAAGGCGGUUCUCUGGGCCUUUCCUGACNCUGAGGAGCGAAAGCGUGGGGAGCGAACAGGCUUAGAUACCCCUGGUAGUCCACGCUGUAAACGGUGGGUACUAAGGUGUGGGGUCCAUUCCACGGGCUUCCGUGCCGUAGCUAACUCUUUUGAGUUACCCCCCCCCUGGGGGAGUACAGCCCCUCUAAGGGUCUAAAA